GCCGCCGGGCUGCCCGCCCGCCCGCUCCCUCCUCCCCUGGCCGGGGACGGGAGCGGGCGCACAUGUCGCCUCGGCAGGAGGGUGGAAAGCGGGCAGAGCGGUGACUCCUUUUUUCCGUGCCUCGUUUCUCCCGCUUCGCUCAGCUCGGGCGGCGAAACGGUGCCGGCGGCUGGCUGCCCGCCUGCGGCUUUGUACCUGGUUGCGAGGCAGAGCGCUCUGAGGCGCCGGCUGCCCCAAAGCGCCUGUUUCGUAGUCCUCGGCUGAGUUUCUGGUCGUUGCGGCGUCAGGUUUGCUAGGCAAGGUGUUCGUCCAGAGUAGGGAGCCGCGCUUCGCGAUCCUUCCUUCGUUCCGUGAAAUCAGUUGAAAACAGCGUUGCCUGAUAGCAACGGCCAAGUACGGGCGCGCUCGCUGUCCGCGCUCCGGCCCGGUGGUUUCUCACCCAGAAGCUCUCGACGUGCCUCAGGACGCGAGUGCGCCCAGGCCCGAGUCCUCCUGCGCAGCGGCGCGUUAAUGCGAGCAUACGGUUUCUCGGCACUGGGCAGAGCCGGCGUCCGAGUCCGGUCCUACGGAUGCACCCUGUGGCUGUCUCCUAGGCUGAAGAACUAACUUUUUUUCCUUCAGGGGCUGCGUUGCAAUGCCAAAGAGGUUGUUGGUGCCCUCAGCAAAACUACAGUAACAGUCCUGAUUAUAAAGCAUUUACUAUGUUAUAGCUCUUUAAAGAUUUGACCACUCAGAUGGGGUUGGGGGGGGUUACUUCUAAACAGAAGAGUUGAAAAAAGCAAAUACGAUGUUAUGGCCAGGUCUUGUUACUGGCUAACUACCAAAGUACAAGCCUCACUAUGCGCUCCGAUUGCUGACUUGUGCUGUUGUACCUGUCCCAGCUCCUCUGUGAUAUUAUUAUUAUUAUUAUAUGACGCUACAUAAAGAUGCUCUUUUUGUAGAGAAAUUCUUAACAUUUGUUGUUGCUGUUUCUGGGAAGGUGUGUUGGAAGACCGGAAGACGCUGAUAAAUCUCGGAGCAGCUCAGUCAGAGCAUCCUAACGCUGCUGUUGAGGGCUCACAAAACUGCUUUCAUUAAGGGCUUAAUCUAGCUACAGUGCUCUUUAAGAACUAUGUUUAAGUGUUCGUUAUCAAACUUACUCAAAUAUGGAAGAUCCACUUUUCUUCCAUGUCUGAGACUAAUCACAUUAAAUACUGUAGGCCUGGGUUUAAAUGGUGUCUAUUUUAAACCUAAUUUGCACACUGCUUUUCCUAAAUUCACUGGAUCUGCUCUAGGAUUAGUGGUAGUGAGGAACGCUGGGAUGACAGAUGACCACUUUGCUUCUGGUUUGCUGUUUCAUAGGAAAGAUGGUGUGGUAACGUUCCAGGAGUGGUAGAAAUCUUAGAGGUCCAGUAAAGGCCCGAGUUGGUUUUGGGUUUUGUUUUUUUUUUUUCCCAGUUGAAAAACUGAACUUGGAUGAGGUUUUCUGUGGCAGCUAGGAGCAUUUUGUAUUAUAUUAAAAACAGUUGGAAUUGUCUACUUUGCUUUGCUAGGACUAUUCAAAUUGUCUCCCCUCCUAUAUGCUUUUUUCAAAAUCUUAGGAACUCCGGCAUCUUUGAACAACAACGCUUAAACAAGUAGCUUCUUUUAUCUCGUUAGGUAAUACAAACAAACAUCACUUAUCUUCUCCCUGGAUGGUACUGGCAUUUCCUAAUCAAUGAAACACACUUAGCGAGAGCACUUUCAGUAACAAUUGCACUAAAAUAUCUGGUAGUUUGCAACAUUAAGCUUUUUACAGGAGUUACCAAACACUCUUACUAGCAAUUAAAACAAAAAUGAGAAUUGAUCUUAUGUGUGUGUUAGGGUUUUUUAAGAUAUUUCUGCUGUAUCCACGAUUGUAGCAUCUGUUUGUGUGCAGUACUGUCCGUAUAUGACAUUCAGACUCUGAGAAAAAACAACUAUCAGUUCAGAGGCUUACUUGGUGAUCCUAUCGCAGUAGAUGCUGAUCCAUACAAACCAAUGUUGGUGACAAAAGUCAUGUGGAAAUAAGCAGCUCGGGAAAAAGAAAAAUAAAUGUGCAGACCACCCUAAACAGUACAACCCUAGCUUAGGCAGCUGUCCGUGAGUAAAAAGUUCUGGUGUCUCAGGGUCAUAUCUGUCACAACUCAUUAGUUUGAGUGUUAGCUCCAGUGUCCCAGUUCUCUACAGCUGGAAAUUUGGCGUGGAGAGAAAACUGGUUACUGGUUUAGUGCCUAUAUUGACAGUUAAGCCGGCCUCCCCUCCCUCUAAACUGUUUCCCCGUCUAUGUGCACAUCAUAGGACACUUCCUCUUAAAUCAGAGAAGAUUAUCAGAUAUUCAGUUUCAAAAUCUCAAAAGCUGUUUUUGAAAAACAGCCGAGUAUCAUGCUAAUUUCUAGCAUACUGGGUAUUUCUAGGUAGGAAUAGUUCCCAGUGGGUGAAUUUCAGAGACUUGCUACACGCUGGACCCAGUACUGAGCUUCCAUUAUGAACUGGGGCCUACUGAAUUGUACAAGCACUCCAGGAUUUUGAAGCUGGCCUUCAAAUUGUCCACUUUAUCUCUAACCCCCAUAACAAGAUAAAUGUUUUUACAUCAGUUAGGUUUUUUUUCUUCCUGUGUGUACUUGGUUGCGUAUUCUUGAGCUCCUCCAAAUCCCCCAAGAGUAUAAUUCCUCCUGCGUGCUGGGUAUUAUACGCCAUCCCUUCAGAGCCUGGGUGUGGGCAUAUGGUAUGGUAUGUGUGCAUCCUGCUGAUAAAUAACAGCGGUCUUUUUAAUUCUUUGGAUCAUAAGACUUUCAAGAGAUUCAUCAGUGUGGUUUUAUCGGGGGAACCUCUUUGUGUGAAUGUCCAGUAUAGCAAUGACACUUUUAAUAGUAAAGUUUUCUGCUAGUGACUCAGUAUUACUGAAAAAGGGAAGCAUUUGAAGUUAAAAUCCUUGUUGCUAGAAAGCUGCAAGUGAGGGGCCAUCAGCAGGCUCCUUGAAGCUCGCGGUUGAUGCUGCAUGAUGUGUCUAUACCAAGAAGUCCCUGCAGUUUUGUCCCUCUGUGACGGUGAGGCUUCUGUUCACUCAUUGCGCUUCCCAAGGAAAAAGGUCCAUGCCCUUGAGUUCUUCAUUCGUCUGAUGUUGUUGACACACCACCUGUCCAUUUUCUUUCUCUUUGAUUCCCAAUGCUCUGUUUAUCCCGUGUUUGUUUAUUUCUGCACAGACGAGAAAUCUUCCAGGGUGUACGUAGUCUGAAACGGUAUUGGGAGGAUCAGCUCAGCAGAGCUGUGUUGUUCGGUCAGAAGAUACCAGUGACUGGUGUAUGCCAGGCCUGGGUGGGAUGGACCAUGAGCUGCAAGUGGGGAAAGGCUAUCAAAAUGAGGACUGAACCUUGUUCACUAAAUCACACGGUCCUGUUACAAACCCCGAGUCAUCAUUGCUCUAAAGGAACACUGCAACUAUACAGAAUUCAGCCAAUUUUUAAAUUAAUGGAAAGUAACCCCUUCCAGAAUCAUUGCAACUUUCAUUGUUGAAAAGGUAAAUGUUUUUCUUUUUUCCUUAAAGAACAGGAAACUUGUAGCAGUAUGUGAGGCAGUACAGCUGACUAUUCGCAAAUGUGUAAACAGUAAACAUAAGGCAUUUUGUCAUCUUCUUUAUUAUAAUCUUGGAUGCAAAACACACAGAAAUUUUUAGUGCUAAAGAAAUCUGCUGUAAAGUGUUACCUUUUUUUAAACAUUGUAUUGUCUCUGAGCAAUUUAGAAUACAUUCAGUUCUAGUGCUUACACUUGACCUGGUUUUUUAAAUGAAUGUGGACGUGGUCAUUUACAGCAUCUCUGCUGAUAAUGUGCAGCUUCCAUAGGAAUUCAGUUGCUUGCAUGUGCUCUCCUUAGUUUUCUUAGUACUGACUGAUCUCUUAACUUUUCUUUGCUCACCUCUGGUCCUCUUAUUUUUCAAUACACAUAUAAAAGAUGAUGGAUGAACUGGAAUAGAGACAUUAAAAGUGGUACAAGAUCAACCUUCAGUCAUAACCUGCAUUAGCUUGUCCCUCUCAUCUCAUAAGAGCAGAUAUCUCCCAAUAUUCUCACUUUAGUUCUUAAAUAUUAUCUUAAUCUGUAUUAUGCUUCACUUACACAUUUUUAAUAAGGGCUCUGGAGUCUCUCUAAGGCUACUUUCCUAUGGUAAUCUGAAGCUCAUGUAUAACUAAAAUAGUAAGAUUGUACUUGACUCUUAGAUAUUUUUUUUUAUUAUUUUUUUUUAACUCACUUCAAGUGUCUUGCACUUUACCAGCUAUUGUCAGAUGUCCUUUCUGUUGAGUUAUUGAAGAUUGAUUCUUCUGACGUUUUCUCUUUUGUUCAAAUAAGCUUAUCAUUUAACCACACUAACUUUUGGUUUGGUUUUCAUUUCCACCUUUGUUUGUGGUGUGCAUUCCUUUUAUGAUUGCUUUGAAAGCUACAAAAGCAUCCUUGUUGAAUAUAACUGCUAGUCACAGUUGUGGUUUUUCGUGUUGUUGGGUUGGUUUUUUUUUUCCCCUGAAGGGGGUCAGCACUACCUUAUAACUGCUGUUAGUUAUGUCUCAUCCCAGUGAGGUAUAUCUGAUAAAGCAUUUCCUUCGUUCCCAAGUACUGGUUCAUCUCCUCGUUGUUAAUGAUGUUGUUUUCCAUAUAGGUUAUUGGCAACCUUUGCUUUAACCUCUCCAUUGGCUAAACCUCAUAAAGGUUUAGAUAAAGCGGUCUUUCAAAUCACGGCCUCUUUCCACAAUGUUCCGUAACUAGUGGGGAUCUUAGAGGUGCUUCACAGAAGUCUCCCCGGUGUAAAUGCCAGAAGCACCACUGAAGUAAGUCAUCUAACUCAGUAAGUUGUAUGUGGGGGUGAGGAUCCAGCAUCAACAAGCCAUUCCGACACUGUACCCUACAACCAUAGCUCUCAUUUUUAGUUGUCACGUAAACCAGGCUACCAUCAAUUUUCAUCCACAGUGGAAAGGAUAUAGCUCACUUCAGUGUAUGAACAAGGCUUGCAGUACAGUGACCAACCCAUACCUUGGGCCCUAAUUACUUGCUGCAGACCUGAAGUGCCCUAGCUGAGUGGCCCAGCUGCUGGCUGCCAGGGCCGUGCUUCUUCUGGCUCUAUCUUCCACCUGUCCCUCUGAUUCUUCAUGUUUCUGGCUGUACAGUGCCAUGGGUUCAGAAGCUCAGUUGUUCUGUACCCAUUUUGCACUAAAGAUUUUUCAAAGUAACUCCAGAAAGGUCAAAUAUCAUCUCAGUUGAACUGGUGUCAUCUUAUCACUUGUAAAGUUAUGGUGCAGGCAAGAUCCUGCUGGCUAGAUAUUUGGGGUUUUGUUUGUUUCCUUCACUGUAGGCAGGGCUUAGAAGCAUCUUUCCAAUGGCUCAUGUUAGCACCCAUCUGACCUAGGUGAGCACCAGGAAUAAACCCCUGAUGGAGAAUUUGGCCAUGCCUCACUUCUCUACUCAGGUUAAGACCUAGUUUUCUCAUGUUUUCAAAUGGUUGAGUUAUAUAGACUUAAAUAACCUUUUAAAGUCAUUUCACUGCAGUUUCUUGUCCAACAAAGAUUGUAGAUUAUAAGAUUAUUUGGCUUUAUGACAAAGGUUUUCUUAUCUAGCCUAUAAAAAUGCAGCUUUUACCUCAGUCAUCUCUGUUUUAUGAUGAAUACCUGUUAAUUCCUUUUUCUUAAAAUUUAACUCAAUGUUUGGGGUAGUUUUUGGGAUGGCUGAUCUAAAUGCAAUUUGUGCUUCAUGGUUUUUCUCAAAUAGCUGACUUGAUUUAGUUAAGUAGAUGUAGUCCUUCUGGAGGUAUUCUUUGUUCAGAAUGUACCUUUAUUUGGAUGAAAUUUAAUAAGGAGCUAUCACAACUGGAAUAAAAGUGCUCUCUUUUUCAGUCAUAGUACGUAACCUUGUUGUAGGUGGUUCUUCCAAGGUUGUUUGUUAUGCUUUUUGUCGAUAAAACCGAAACCACCGCCUUUGAACUAAAUAUCAAAAGGCCUUUGAAGAUAUUUUGGGGUUUUAUUUUCUUGUAAGGGUCUCUUAAUCCCAGUAGGGGCUUUUGUUUGGUUUUUGGUUGGGUUUUUUUUUUCUUCUGUAGAGAGGGGAUUUCCUAUUGGCUUCAUAGUCACUCCUACUUAUCAAGAGCCCGCCUGUACAAGUCCUGCUUCUGUCAUCCCCUAACUGAAAGCAUAGAUUUAUCAAUACUGUCUUGAUCUGUAAGUCACCUAAAAUAAAUUUCAAAUACUGUCACUGAUUGUUCUUUCCACUCUUCUUUAGAAUACAGAAAGAUGCAAAACUUCAUCUGACAACAAGGAAAGUUCAGGCAUUUUCUGAAGCAUAGUUUUCAUUGUCCAAGUCUCUUGUAGUGUUGUGUUGGGUUUGGGGUUUUUUUUGUUUGAUUGGUUGGGUUUUUUGUUUUCAGUGGCAUUCUUUGUGUCUCCUGUGAACUGUUCCCGCUCCCUAGAGCUUGAUCCUUUUUCAGACUGUUUUUUACCACCAGGCAUUUCACUACAUGCCAAACCUCCUGACCACCGCUAUGGUGGAUGGAUAUUAUUUCCCCAUGGCCUAGAAGUCCAGAAAUGCCAGCUAAUGGUCAGAGCUGCCGUGAUGUUUUGUGGGCAGAUGCUCCUGCUAGCAUUGGAAACACAACUGUAACAGCAUUGUGCUGGUAUAGGAGAACUGAAAAACUCAGCUGAACAGUCUAGUUCAUUGUCUAAACUGAGUGAAAUACUAACUAUAAAUGGCAUUUGAGAGGAAAACAAAAACUGUAUUUUUAAAAUCCUUUAAUAUACAGGUUUAGCAAUACAGGUAAGGGAAACCUUCAAAUAUUUUCUUUUGAAAGUGUCAGAGGUACAUUUAAAAAACCAGGACAAUAAGGAAGAAGUGGUAAAAUUAUCCCUUUUACAAUUCCUUGUGAUACGAUAAACAUUUUUAAGGUGAUUUUAGAGUAAGAAGUAACAGCAAGAAACUUACAAUGAACUCAUGCUCUAACCUAUAAAUCUGGGGUUUUGGAAAAAUUCAGACAUGAAUUUCACACCUGUUUGAGUUUUGUUCUGAUGUAUGAUGGUGCUUUACUUGGCCGUAGGAACAGUUUUCCCUUAUGGAAUGCAUAGGCUUGUUCACAGACUUUUUGUCAUAAUCUAAGAAAACUUUUGAUAGCUUCACCUUUGGAAAUGCCUUAAGCUGAUUUAUGUAUCCUAUAAUUUAUCACUGAUAGUAUGAAAUUUAUGUCAUUGUAUGUUCUUUUUGUUUAAUGUGGAAUUACGGAUUUUGCAUGGAGUUUGCUUUUUACACAUUAGGAGGUAAAAUUUUGCAGGUUUAAGUUGUUAAUGUUUAGAGUGUAAUUGUUUCAAAUGAUAUAUUACUCAAAUUUCUGCGUAGAUUUACUAUCAUUAGCUAAAAAAAGCUGUUAUGGUUGAAUCCAGGAUAACAUUGUAUGUUCAUAUGACCAGUUUCCAUGUGAUACACACUUACAGGCUGCAACUUUUCAUGCUUCCUUUAUGCUGAACAUGACCUUUUUCAAACACUGGAAACAAGUCCAUCUAGCAAACUUUGUGGGA